UGUACUUCAGGUGACAGGCUUCAGGAACCUUCACCUCCCACCCCAGGACCCAGGGAGCCCCAGGCCCAGCCCACUCUAACAGGCUGAGAAGGUGAUGUGGGACUGUGAAGUCCCGCAACCUUGGACCAGUCCUCUCCAAAUAAACUUUCCCUUCCUAGUGAUGCUUGCACGACACUGGGAUGGCUUGACCAGAACUCUCCCUAGGUAUUUCUCCACGUUUCUGGAGGCCUUGGCUAUACUGCUGCUGAUUGGGUUGUCCUCCAUGGAAACUGGGAGCAAAAAAGGGGUCUAGAGGAAUCUCUGCCCCGCUCCUGCUGGCUCCCCACGGCAGUCCCCACGAAGUUCUCAGGGGUGCAGCCAGCACUCACAGACUAUCCCAGCCUUUAACCUCAGCCCCCAUGUCUGGUCCCUACGGAGACAGAGGACCAGGCGACUUUCUGCCUCAGGCUUAGAAAUGGGACAGGGCCAGGAGGUGGCAGAGAGUGUGGGCUGGAAGGGACAAUUCAUGGAGUUCCUGCCCUCAAGGUCCGGCCUGUUCUAUCCUUGGGCAGGAAAACCCUCUUCAGCUUCUGCCUGCCUGGCCCUGCAGCACCAGCCCUGCGAGUGCCCCCUUGUGGCUGCUGUUCAGAUGAUCGUCACAUGUGCUACAAGACAAACACACGUGUUGGGUGGAAGGGUUAGGGGAAAGGGGCCUGCAGAGCUCCAGGGCUCCCUGCCUCCCAGCGCUCCCUGCUGCUGUCUCCUGGCUCUCAUGCCAGGAGUUAGACCUCGUGCUCCUGCUGUCCCAGUGAGGUCAUCCCUUGCUCCUUCUUUAACCCAGGAUAUUAGCCUGGAUCCUAGCCAGAGAAGGACUCAAACUCUUUCCUUAGUUAAUUCCCUUCCUCCCAGGACCCCCCCCCCCCCCCCCCCCCCCCCCCCCCCCCCCCCCCCCCCGCANCCCCCCC
rnacentral:lncRNA from 1 species